AGAGUUUGAUUCUGGCUCAGGAUGAACGCUGGCGGCGUGCUUAACACAUGCAAGUCGAACGGGAACCCUAGACUGAAGGUUCGCUGGAUGUUUAGAAAUUCUAGUGGCGGACGGGUGAGUAACGCGUGGGUAACCUGCCUAUAAGACGUGAACAACAGUUAGAAAUGACUGCUAAUACACGAUAAGCACACCAGUAUCGCAUGAUACAGUGUGAAAAGAAUUUCGCUUAUAGAUGGACCCGCGUUUGAUUAGCCAGUUGGUGGGGUAACGGCCUACCAAAGCGACGAUCAAUAGCCGGCCUGAGAGGGCGACCGGCCACAUUGGGACUGAGACACGGCCCAAACUCCUACGGGAGGCAGCAGUGGGGAAUAUUGGACAAUGGGGGCAACCCUGAUUCCCAGCAACGCCGCGUGAGUGAUGAAGUAUCUUGGUAUGUAAAGCUCUAUCAGUAGGAACGAAAAUGACGGUACCUAACUAAGAAGCCCCGGCUAACUACGUGCCAGCAGCGGC
rnacentral:rRNA from 1 species